GUGGGGAAUCUUGCGCAAUGGGCGAAAGCCUGACGCAGCCAUGCCGCGUGAAUGAUGAAGGUCUUAGGAUUGUAAAAUUCUUUCACCGGGGACGAUAAUGACGGUACCCGGAGAAGAAGCUCCGGCUAACUUCGUGCCAGCAGCCGCGGUAAUACGAAGGGGGCUAGCGUUGCUCGGAAUUACUGGGCGUAAAGGGCGCGUAGGCGGACAGCUUAGUCAGAGGUGAAAGCACAGGGCUCAACCUUGGAAUUGCCUUUGAUACUGGCUGUCUUGAGUUUGGUAGAGGUGAGUGGAACUCCGAGUGUAGAGGUGAAAUUCGUAGAUAUUCGGAAGAACACCAGUGGCGAAGGCGACUCACUGGCCCAAUACUGACGCUGAGGCGCGAAAGCGUGGGGAGCAAACAGGAUUAGAAACCCGUGUAGUCC
rnacentral:rRNA from 1 species